UACGAAGGGGGCUAGCGUUGCUCGGAAUCACUGAGCGUAAAGCGCACGUAGGCGGAUUGUUAAGUCAGGGGUGAAAUCCUGGAGCUCAACUCCAGAACUGCCUUUGAUACUGGCGAUCUUGAGUCCGGGAGAGGUGAGUGGAACUGCGAGUGUAGAGGUGAAAUUCGUAGAUAUCAGGAAGAACACCCGUGGCGAAGGCGGCUCUCUGGGACGGUACUGACGCUGAGACGCGAAAGCGUGGGGAGCGAACAGG
rnacentral:rRNA from 1 species